rnacentral:misc_RNA from 1 species
GAUGAAGAACGUAGCGAAAUGCGAUACUUGGUGUGAAUUGCAGAAUCCCGUGAACCAUCGAGUCUUUGAACGCAAGUUGCGCCCGAAGCCAUCAGGUUGAGGGCACGUCUGCCUGGGCGUCACAUAUCGUUGCCCAAUGCCUAUUGCAGUGCAAUAGGAAUUUCUAGGGCGAAUGAUGGCUUCCCGUGAGCGUUGUUGCCUCGCGGUUGGUUGAAAAUCGAGUCCUUGGUAGGGUGUGCCAUGGUAGAUGGUGGUCGAGUUAGAACGAUACCGAUCAUGUGCAUGCUCCCCAAAAUAUGACCUCUAUGACCCACACGCGUCUUUUGACGCUCAUGACGAGACCUCAGGUCAGGCGGGGCUACCCGCUGAAUUUAAGCAUAUCAAUAAGCGGAGGA